rnacentral:lncRNA from 1 species
AUAAAUGCUUCCAAUGUCCCAGGAGUCUUUUCAAAAACCUGGUACCCAGUUCAGUUUUUUUUUGUUUUGUUUUAUUUCAUAGCGGUAAGCAAAUAUGAGAUAUAAAUCUCCUCUCUGAUAAAACACCAGAUAUUCCAGUAAUAUUCCCAGAUGAUCUUUUAAUAUGUUAGCCUAAACAGAUUAGGUAAAAUGCGCUAAAAUGAAAUAAAAUAUUUUGGCUAGAGACAAAAUGACUAGACACCAAAACGAGGCCGCUUGUGUGACGAGAGGAGGAGAGAGAGGGGAGACAUGUAAGUUGAUACUGAAUCAAGGGAACGAAGAGAGAAACAGUUAGAGAGAGGAUAGAAAGGUGAUAAUGAGCGUUAUGAAAUGAUAGAUCAUAAGAGGGAACGAUGUGUGGUAGAUGAUAUUAAAAUCAAGAAAAUAUGGAAAAACAGAGAAAAGAAUAGAAAGAGGAAGAGAGCUGUAUGGAAACAGAUAUUAAGAGGCGAGAAAGUAUAUAGAAGCGUAGAAGAAAGAAUUGUGUGAAAGUUGUUACUGCGAUACAAGAAUGGAUGGAUAGAAAAGAGAGGAAGAGAAAAUGUAAGGAGGAGGAGGAGGAGGAGGAGGAGAGAAAGGUAAGGAGGGAGAGAAAGGUAAUGUAAAGGAGGAGAGAACGGUAAUGAUUUAGAGUGUAGAGGUGUAGAACAGGUGUAGGUGGAGAGAAAGGUAAGGAGGAAGAGAGAAAGGUAAGGAGGAGGAGAGAAAGGUAAGGAGGGGAGAGAAAGGUAAUGAGGGAGAGAGAAAGAGAGAAAGGUCAGGAGAGGAGGAGGGAUAGAAAAGGUAAUGAGGUGGAGGAUUGAAAGGUAAGGAGGAGAAGGAGGAGAGGAAAAUGAGGAGAAGGAGGAGGAGGAGGAGGAGAGAAAAAUGAGGAGGAGGAGGAGGAGGAGGUGAGAAAGAUAAUGAGAAUGAAAAGAGAACAGUAAGGAGGAGAAGAGAAAGUAAGGAGGGAGAAGAAAGAAAAGUAAGGAGGAGGAGGAGGAGAAAAAGGUAAUGAGGAGGAGGAGUGAAAGGUAAGGAAGGAGGAGGAGAUAAAGGUAAUGAGAAGAAGGAGAGAAAGAUAAGGAGAAGAAGGACACUACCGAUGGUAACGGCGACAACACUGACGACGACAACGACAAUGUUGCGAAGGGCACAAAGGCCUGCAAUAUUUCCCGUCUUUUUACUAUCAGCCAGUUUUCAUCUUUUUUGUAUCUUCUAAAGGCGAGCUAGCCUCCAUAUCCCACAUAUCGGGAACGUCGUUAAGCGUUUGAAUUUCCUUCGUUAUGGCCGCUUUUAUAUUUUUUUUUAUUUCUCAUAAAACCGCGCGUUGAUUGGGGAGCCAUUUUGUUUUUAUUUCUUCUUUUUUUUUUCUUUAACAGAGAAGUGCAAACGAAGUGAAAAAUAUCUUUUUUCGACUGAAUCAAAUGUCAGAUAUAUAUAUGCGAAUAAAAUUUAAAUCUAUUUAAUAUUUCGUAUUUCUUAUAUAUCAGUAUAUAGAAACAGACUGUUACUAUAUCUUUGUGCUUCAUCAGCAGAGUCUAACUGAUAAUUAUAUCAUUACGUUGCUGGGUAGACAGAGAAACAGCAUAAGAGAAAAGAAUAAAAAGUGGUAAGUACAUACAUAUUCUAGAAGAACGAGAGAGAGAGAGAGAGAGAGAGCUAAACAGACUGACAGAUAGUUACAUAGAAACAGCUACAUUCAUUUUUCUUCAUCUGCUAAGGUUACAUUAGUACAUGAACGUUUAAACUUAGGUGAUAUGAAAAUUAUUCCGUAUUUAAUUUUUUUUCUUGUUAUCAUUUAUAUUUUAGUGCUUCUGUAGCUCUUAAAUAAAGCACGAAGAUGCAGAAAUAUUUUCUUUACAUAUGCGGAUAUAGGAAAAUGUGAUACGCUAAAUAAAUUUAAUUGCAUACAUAUAACUUUUUGAAACACUUGAAAAAUUCAUUUCUGAUAUUUUAACUCCUUGAAAUAGUUAUUACAUAUAUUAGAGUAUUAUUCCUUCCAUCGUAGAGAAGUGCAUAGAAAAUCCUUUGUAGCGGAAGCACAAGGCCUCAAAUUUAGAGAAGGAAUUAAAUCGAUUACACCGAUUCCAGUGCGGAACUGGUACUUAUUUAAUCGACCCCGGCGGAAUUUGAACUCAAAAGGUAGCAGCAGACGAAAUACCUAUUUCUUUACUACCCACAAGGGGCUAAACACAGAGAGGACAAGCAAGGACUGACAAACGGAUUAAGUCGAUUAUAUCGACCCCAAUGCGUAACUGGGACUUAUUUAAUCGACCCCGAAAGGAAGAAAGGUAAAGUCGACCUCGGCGGAAUUUGAACUCAGAACGUAACGGCAGACGAAAUACGGCUGCGCAUUUCGCCCGGCGUGCUGACGUUUCUGCCAGCUCGCCGCCUUAGAGAAGUGCAUAGAUAAUAAUGUGCUUGUAUUGACAUUUAUCGUGAAAGCUUUCCUAUAAUUGUUUGUUUGUUUCUGUUUCAGCCAGAAGACGAGGACAGUGUACAUGGCUUUUCGCAGCGCUUCUGAAACAAGUAAAGAGAAAAUAUGGACUUUUUGGUUACUGUCAUAGGAAGCAUCAAUAAACAUCAAGAUAUUCUCAAUCCGAGAAUUAAAUGCUUACACUCAACUGUAUUCUGUUAGUAGCCUGGUCGCAUAACCUUUUGUUAAUAGAGAUUGUUAUGUAGUUAUCUAGAACAGCAUCAUCGAAUCAUGGUCAGUCUUGGUGACCUUGCAGUCAUUUCUCUAGUUCAUAACCUCUCUAGACUAGGGUCUGAAAGUUUACCACAGUAUAGUGGGUUACACCAUGGUUCCUCUGCUUUGUGGCUGAAGUAGGAAGAAAAAGUGAGAGAAAGUUGUGGUGAAAGAGUAUAGCGGGGUUCACCACCACCAUCCCGCCGGAGCCUCGUGGAGCUCAGGUGUUUUUACUCAAUAAGCACUCACAAUGCCCGGUCUGGGAAUCGAAACCGCGUGCUUACGACCGCGAGUCCGCUGCCCUAACCACUGGGCCAUUGCGCCUCCACUUCGUUGUUGCUGCUGUUGAGGUAACUGUAUGUAUUCUAUUCAACAGGUUUUUGAGUAGUGUUGCAGUUCAAUGAAUUAAACUGGGAAGAGGAACAUGGAGCUUUGUGAUGUCAAAGACGAAUAUGUCUAUAAAUGCUUUUGAGUACCGUAAAUCUUCGAGUAUAAUCCACCCUUGAGUAUAAUACGCAGGGGAUUUUUAGGGGGCUGUACCUCUGAAAACCCUAAACCUUUUGUAUAAUACGCACCCCUUCUCUAACUUGAGACUUGCGUUAUUAAGCCAGCAGUACCUAGUCGAACAAACACUUCCGCGCAUGCGUAAUACAAUAAUGGUGAUGUUCUUAACUGUUAUAUGGGAAUGUAAAUAUGUUUGCAAAUUGUUUUUGUUACAUGUUAUUCUGUGUUCUGAAUACUUUUAUUUUAAUUAAUGUUGCUUACUGCAAGUUAUGGAUGAUUCUUUUAUGACUUCAUUGCUUUCAGGCUUAGCUUAAGGUAUUUUCGCACCCAGCAUCACAAAAUGCAUCUGAAUAAACAUUGCCGGACAGCAAAUAGAGACUCGGACAUUGCUUAGAAAAUAUUUUUCAUUUUUAACCUCGUAUAUAGUACGCACUAGAGAUUUUGACCUUUAAAUUUUGGGAAAAAAAUGCGGAUUAUACUCGAGGAUUUACAAUAUACACUUUUUAAGGUGGUGAGUCUAUGUUGGCAGCUUUGGUUGUGGAAAUGUUUUAAUUCCAUCCCAAUUACCCAAUUUUGAGGUUUAACAAUGUAAAAUUUGUUGGUUCGGGGGAAAAAAUUCCAUCUAGUCCCAAUGUGCAGUGUGUAUGAUUUUUUUUUUCUAUUUUGUCGGUCUCCGAUUGUUUUGAAUUUUGCGCCAUCAUGACAUCUCGUUUGUUUUUCUGUUAUCCGACGACUGAAAGGAGUCGAAGUCACGGUCUAUGUAGGAGGACGAUCUUACCAUACAGAUUGUGCUUGUGUAGUUUUGACUAACGAUUUUAAAAACGUAUAUGGUCAAAGGAAUUUGUUUGUGGUUGGAGUCUGAAUAUGUUAAUCGACGUUUUGUUGCAGCAUAUAAUGUAAUAUGGCCAUUUUUAUAGCUUUUGAUGCUACUAAUUAUUUUCUAUAUAUUUUACUGCUUGUUUUAUGAUUUAUGUUGGUUACAAAUGUUUGCCAGUUUACUGCUCUCCUUUGAUUUAUUUCCUUUGUUAUUAUUAUGUUAAUUUCUGACAGCUGAGUUUUGUUUUUGUUGUAUCUGGUAUUACCGUCUAUGUAGGAUAUUAUCCCUAGCUUUUUUUUUUCUUCAGAUUGGCUAUUUCAGUUGCAUAAUUUAGGUUGUACUUUUUAUGGUAUUUUAGGGAUAUAUUUUACUUCACCUUCUACAAUAAUUUUAUCAAAUAUAUAUUUUGUCCAGUGACUUUUACAAAUUUUACGAACUAUAAAUCUUAUUUCACGUUGGAAGAAAUAGUUUCACGAGGUUUUUAGAAGUUUGUGAGGGUCUCAUUCAUUCAUGUCGGAGCAUGAUACCUCAUCUUAUUACAAAGCAAAUGCUGUGUGCAAUGUGAAAUAUUUUAACCCCAUUAAAAAUAUUUUUAGACUGCUUAUAUUACAUUACGGUAAAUUUGGUGCAAUUUACAAAGUAUAGAUUGGUGAUAUUUUAUGAAUUAUAUACUUUCACCUUGAUGCUUUAGUUGUUUCUCAUGCUGUGAGUGAUAAAAUCGUUACAAGAGUUUGUGGGGUUUUAGGAAUACAAUCGCAGUACUUCUGUUGAGAUAGAGGUGUGUUAUGCUCUGAUUCAGAGUUAAUGUUAAACCCUAUAUCAACUUGAUUAAACAAACCUUACUCGUCAGGAACAUUAUAUUUUUAAAAUGGUAUCUUGGACUACAUUACACAAUGUGUCUUUGUUUAAGAUGGUACAAGUGUGUUAUUUGAAGUAGAUUUGGCUUUUACUUUUCGUAACAGCGUACAGGCUAGUACUUCGGAUUGAACUCGAUGGAAAGGAGCUUCGAAUACUUCGGAGGGCCGUUUCUUUUUCAGUUCUACAUUUGGGUUUAUAAUAGUUUCAAAUUUUGCCACAAGGACAGCAAUUUUUGGGAAGAGGAUGAGGCGAUUACAUCGACCCCAGUGUUUCACUCGUACUUAAUUUAUCGACCCCGAAAGGAUAAAAGGCAAAGUCGACCGCGACGGAAUUUGAACUCAGAACGUAGCGACGGUGCGAAACACCGCUAAACAUUUUGUCCAGCGUGCUAACGAUUCUGACAGCUCGCCGCCUUUUAUUUGGGUUUAUAAUGUACACUGUUCAUAUUUCAAUUUUAGAUUUUAAGUAUAAAACUAUGUAUAACAGAGGGUAUGGAAAUUAUAGUGUUGCUGAAUUCUACGAAUUAAUUAUCUAUUUUGGAUGAUAUAUUUCCAAUAGAGCCAUUUAAAAGUUGUUUUCAACAUAUUCCUGUUUUGUUCAUUUUUUUAUAGAGGGGAUUGUAUUGUUGAUAGGCGGUUGAUUGAAAGAGAUUUUGAUGAGCUACUUGUUGUGUGUAUGUGACAUGCAUAUGUAUGAAGCAGAAAGUAUUGUCUUUAGAAUAGUUAACUUAGAGAAGUAUAGAGAUACGUCGAGACGGAUCUUUCAAAAACAAAAAAAAAUUAGUUGGGCUGUUAGUAUCUCAUGUGUUAUCUGCAUUGUCUGUAUACCAUGAUAUGUUGAACGAAUUAAAGUCUAUACCAAUUACGACUUGUUGGUGUGUGCUCAUAUGUUAUAGCUGGAAUGUGAAUUAUAGUAGUCGUGUGCUGUAGCUGAAAUGUCCAAUCUGGUGUUAUUCUCUUGCAGCUGGAGUUCUUAAUUUAGUCGGUAAUGUCGAUGCCACGUAUACGUUUAUGAGUUUUCAUAUUGAAGACAUACAUCUCAUAUUAUUAUAGAGCGUGUUUUGUUUGCUUACAUUUGUUGAAUCUGAGUACUGGACCUAUGGACUGAUGUAUGGUUUGAGACCUCAGUUGUGGUUUUAUUUGCUCUUAUUUACACGUUUAGUUGGCAUUGAAGUGUCCUUUAUUAGAGUUGUAUCUUUACUCCCUGCAUCAUUGUAAUAUCUAUAUCUUCUAUGGUUAUGAAUUUUUUUUUAGAUUUAUGAAGGUUUUAUUAAAGACAGUUUGGCUUAUAUCGUUUUACGGUUGGUUCAGUAUUUAGUUUUGGUGGGGUUCUUUUGUUGAAUUAGUUAUAUAGGACGCGUUAGCAAAUUUUGUUAUUGUUGUGUAUUUUGUCGUUUUGAUCAGCUUGGUUAUAUUUUUCUAUUACCGUUGUUGCAUUAUUAAAGAAAGGUUCAACUUUGUUCGAUUUGAGACUUUUAGGAGAAGAUAAUGGCUGACUUCCGUUUUUCUGUGUCAUAUUAUUUUCUAUGACGCAGAGGUAAGCUAUUUUAUUUCUUAUUGUGUGUGUGUGUGUGUGUGUGUGUGUGUGUGUGUGUGUGUGUGUGUGUGUGUGUGUGUGUGUGUGUGCGCGCGUGCGUGCGUGUGUGUGUGUGUGCGCGCGCGUGGGGUGCUUUGCGUUACAUCAUGGGUUUUUCCAGCCUUCAUAUUUUCUUCUUUCAGCCGAGAUGUCACCUUAGAAUAUAUUUUCCUACUAUUAAGCAGUUUCGUGCAUUGGUCUGAAUAUUUUAUAUUUUGCUUAGCGUUCCAGCUGUGACCAUCACAAUUUUUCUAACACGUUAUUUAAUAAUUAGAUUUUUCAUUUUGUCAAUAGUUUUUUUAAUUCUUUUCUUCUUUCUGUCUCUUUUUAGAUGUCAAAGAAUACGUUAAAGAAUAUUCUUUUCUACUCUAGGCACAAGGCUCGAAAUUUAGGGGGAAGUAGCCAGUCGAUUAGAUCGACCCCAGUACGCAAAUGGUACUCAAUUAAUCAACCCCGAAAGGAUGAAAGGCAAAAUCGACCUCGGCAGAAUUUGAACUCAGAACGUAAAGACAAACGAAAUACCGCGAAGCAUUUCACCCGGCGUGCUAACGUUUCUUAUUUCAUUAUUGCCCACAAGGGGCUAAACAUAGAGGGGACAAUCAAGGACAGACAAAGGGAUUAAGUCGAUUACAUCGACCCCAGUGCGUAACUGGUACUUAAUUUAUCGACCCCGAAAGGAUGAAAGGCAAAGUCGACCUCGACGGAAUUUGAGCUCAGAACAUAAAAGACAGACGAAAAACCUUUAAGCAAUUCGCCCGGCAUGCUAACGUUUCUGCUACUCGCCGCCUUUAGGUUUAAGAACAUUGAGGUGCAGAUUAACGUAAAUUGAAUAACCACACACAAACUUCCACAUUGGUUUUGGAUUAGUGUUUGUUUUGAGUGAUUUUGUGGUUGUGUUGAAAUAUGGCUUUUUGGUUUGUGUAGUCGGCAUAGUUUUAAAACUUGAUGUUAUGGAGGCGCAAUGGCCCAGUGGUUAGGACAGCGGACUCGCGGUCGUAGGAUCGCGGUUUCGAUUCCCAGACCGGGCGUUGUGAGUGUUUAUUGAGCGAAAACACCUAAAGCUCCACGAGGCUCCGGCAGGGAUGGUGGUGAUCCCUGCUGUACUCUUUCACCACAACUUUCUCUCACUCUUACUUCCUCUUUCUGUUGUACCUGUAUUUCAAAGGGCCGGCCUUGUCACUCUCUGUGUCACGCUGAAUAUCUCCGAGAACUACGUUAAGGGUACACGUGUCUGUGGAGUGCUCAGCCACUUACACGUUAAUUUCACGAGCAGGCUGUUCCGUUGAUUCGGAUCAACCGGAACCCUCGUCGUCGGAACCGACGGAGUGCUUCCAAACUUGAUGUUACACUAGUGUGCGUGACUGGUAUAUAUACUCAACAUCUUGUCAGUACACUUCACAAGACUAAUCGCAAAAGAAAUGAAAUUCGCAGCCUCCUAAACGUCACAGCUCGUCCUUAAUGAAUAAGAUUAUUUGUGCCUAGUAAACGGAAAAUAUUCAGAGGCCAUACCAGUUUCACCUGCUAGAACUAGCAGUUGAUGUUCCCGAAAACCACAUUCUGCUGCCCUAGAGAAAGAAUGACAUAUGGCAAAAAGUGGCUCAGUAUGACUAAGUAUUAAUAAAAGACAGAAUGGUCACGACAGGAAUACCUUUUAUCUUAACACUCCUAGAUUUGGAUUAACCUGAGGUUAAACAACAGCAUUCACUUUAUUCACACACUAACUACGCCUUCUACCCUGAGCUGAAAUGUAUAGAAUAAAAACUAUAUUAAACUAAAUUAUAACAUGAAUUGCUGUGAGCUGUGAAAACCGACGCAAACUACCAUCUGUUUUCCUUGGAUUUCCAGAACUUACCUCACUGAAAUAUCAUUUUCUGAAUUCCUUACUAGAUAUGGAUCGAUAUAUUUCCUGCCUAAUUCUUUCUAUCUUUCUACCUCUCUCCAGAUCAUCUCUCUCUCUAUCUCUAUCUCUUUCUCUCUCUCUCUCUCUCUCUCUCUCUCUCUCUCUCUCUCUCUCUCUCUCUCUCUCUCUCUCUCUCUCUCUCUCUCUCUCUCCCUAUCCGCAUUCUCCGUACCCUCUCACAACACGCUGUCUCUUCCUGCUCUCUUUCUUUAUCUCAAUUUGUUAAUCAAUAUUUCUGAGAUGAAAUUAUAACAAUAGACAGACAGAAGGUUCCACAAAGCGAAAGAGUGAAGGUGACGGAAGGAAAGAAAAAAUAAGGUUGGAAAAAGGAGAUUUUAUAUGGGUAAGAGUCUGAGCUGAUGAAUAGAUAGAUAGAUAGAUAGAUAGAUAGAUAGAUAGAUAGAUAGAUAGAUAGAUAGAUAGAUAGACAGACAGACAGACAGACAGACAGACAGACAGACAGACAGACAGACAGACAGACAGACAGACAGAUAGAUAGAUAAAUAGAUAGGUAGACAGACAGACAGACAGAUAGAUAGAUAGAUAGAUAGAUAGAUAGAUAGAUAGAUAGACAGAUAGAUAGAUAGAUAGAUAGAUAGAUAGAUAGAUAGAUAGAUAGAUAGAUAGAUAGAUAGAUAGAUAGAUAGAUAGAUAGAUAGAUAGAUAGAUAAAUAGGUAGAUAGAUAGACAGAUAGAUAAAUAGGUAGAUAGACAGACAGAUAGAUAAAUAGAUAGAUACACAGAUAGAUAGAUAGAUAGAUAGAUAGAUAGAUAGAUAGAUAGAUAGAUAGAUAGAUAGAUAGGUAAGCAGGUUUAAUGAGGUAGGAUAUAGGGAGGGAAAGAGACAGGUAGGCAAGAAGAUGGGUAGACAGACAGACAGAUUGACAGAUAGACAGGUAUAGACAUAUAGACAACACCAAAAGCAACACUAAAAUCAGAAAUCAAUAUCCUAGACAUAGAUAUUUUAAUACAAUGUUUCCUGUCAGCACCAUUCAUGAUAUUAUUACUAUCUAUUACGUAAUAUUAUAGCAGACCUUUAAAUGGAAUGUUCCUCACUUUAUAAUUACAUAAAUAUUAUAUACUACUAAUGAGUUUUUCAAUGCAUUUUUUUAAUGUUUUAUGCCUGUUACUUUCUCUGUGUGUUUGUAUGUGUGUGUGUGUGUGUGUGUGUGUGUGUGUGUGUGUGUGUGUGUGUGUGUGUGUGUGUGUGUGUGUGUGUGUUUUGUCGUCUGCUUUUGUUCCAGUUGUUUUGUGCACGUCAGUAGAUGUUGUCGGCUGCAGCAAAGAAAUCCUUGUUGUCGUAGCUGCUGCUGCUGCUGUUAUUGCUUCUGCUGUUACUGUUGAUGUUGUUACUGUUACUGCUGAAGUUGCACUUGUUGUUUAACCCCAGGUAAGUUCCUGUUGGAGUAGAUAAUUAUGAUCAAAGUUAUUUAUACAAAGACAGCGUAUCUAAGGCUACAAAGAGGAAACUUUUUAGUUUUGAUUGAAAAAGUAUAGUUUAAGAGAUAAUUAGAGAUUAUCUCUAACUAGAAGAACGAUCGAAACGAUCCCACUGGCUUCUGAUGUCUAGCCUUACCCCAACUAUGUCUAUCCAAUUCGUGAGGACUUAUGAUAAAGGACUUUUAAUCACAAUCAUUCUGUCUUGUAUUCACACAUUGUAUAUCUAACACCACAACAUUCAAGGUGUCUUUCGAUCUUUCUUUAAGGUAUUAAGGCAUCCUAUGAAGAAUAUAUGGCGUCUAUUUUUAGCUUUUUCUCUCACUUAAAAUGAUCCCAGUAUAUUGUACGUAUGUAUAUUGUAUGUGCAUCUCUGAUCGAAGUCAAAUUGUCAAGAGGCGUGUUUGUGUGUUGGGGUGUAUUGUUUAUGGUUUGUUUAAUUAUUUAUUUAGUUUAGUUUAAUCAGAGAGAAAAGAACAGCAGCUAUAGCUCUACUUUUUUUUUUUUCAGAGCCUCUAAAACUGGUGGAAGGUAGUGAAAAAUUCAUUCUAAAUCUGGAGAACGAACUCUGCUAAAGUUUCCCAGACGCCAAAUGGCGGGGCGUUAAACCGGAUGUUGGAUUAUGUCUCCCCCUGAAAACUCAGAAUUCAAUGCGCGAAAACCAAUACGUCAAGCCAUCUCAUUUGAUUCGUUAACAAUUCUGCCAAUCCAUUGCCUGUUGGUCAACCCCAAAAGUAAAUAAGAUAAAGUUGGCCACGGCAAGUUUUGAACAGGUGAACCAGAAAGCUGGAUAAAAUACUGCAAAGUAUUUUUCCUACACUCUGGAUAUUCUGCCCAUUCACUGCCUGUAACGUAUCUAUUUCGACGCAUAAUUUGAACUCAAAACAAAUGCCGCAAGGCAUUUUGUCCAACACCCGUAAUAAUUCUGCAGGCUCAACGCCAUCAUUUCCUCUAAAGACUCGAGCCCUGAAAUUUUUGUUGGAAGGAGCUAGUCGAUGACGUCGAUCCCGGUGCUCAACUGAUACUAAUUUUAUCGACCCCGAAAGAAUGAAAGGCAUACUCGACCUUGGCGUAAUUUGAACUCAGAACAAAUACCACAAAGAAUUUUGUCCCACACCCUUAACAAUUAUGCAGGCUCACUGCUAUAGGCUUAUAUGUAAUAAUUCUUUCCUCUAUAGGCUCGAGACAUGAAAUUUUGUUGUGGGGAACGAGUAGAUCACUUUGAUCCCAGUGUUCAACUAGUACUAAAUUUAUCGACCUCGAAAGGAUGAAAGGCAUAGUCAGAAUUUGAACUCAGAACGUAACGGCAGACGAAAUACCGCUGAGCAUUUUAUCCGACGUACUAACGAGUAUUCCCGCUCACAAUCUUUCAAGUUUAUGUAUAAUAACAUACAUCUUUUAAUGUGGCGAGCUUGCAGGUUUGUUCGCUCGUGAAGUGCUCAGCCACUUGCACAUUAAUUUCACGAGCAGGCUGUUCCGUCGAUCGGAUCGACUGGAGCACUCGUUGUCGUAACCGACAGUGAUAUAUACUGUAUAUAUAUAUAUAUAGAUAGAUAGAUAGAUAGAUAGAUAGAUAGAUAGAUAGAUAGAUAGAUAGAUAGAUAGAUAGAUAGAUAGAUAUAUCUUUCGUAAGCCCAGUACUUGUUCUAUCGGUCUCUUUUGCCGAACCGCUAAGUUAGGGGACAGAAACACACCAGUAUCGGUUGUCAAGCAAUGCUAGGGGGACAAACACAGACACACAAACACACACACGCAAAUAUAUAUAUAUACAUAUAUACGACGGGCUUCUUUCAGUUUCCGUCUACCAAAUCCACUCACAAGGCUUUGGUCGGCCCGAGGCUAUGGUAGAAGACACUUGUCCAAGGUGCCACGCAGUGGGACUGACCCCAGAACCAUGUGGUUGGCAAGCAAGCUACUUACCACACAGCCACUCCUGCGCCUAUAUAUAUUAUAUAUUAUAUAUUAUAUAUAUAUAAUAUAUAUAUUAUAUAUUAUAUAUUAUAUAUAUAUAAUAUAUAUAUUAUAUAUAUAUAUACAUAUAUAUAUAUAUAUAUAUAUAUAUAUAUAUAUAUAUAUAUAUAUAUAUAUAUAUAUAUAUAUAUGAACGUUUGAUUUAGAUUGCUGAGGGUAGGUGGAGUGUGUGGUCAAGCAGCAUUUUCAAGAAGUUAUCAAAAUCAAAAUUCUAUAAAUUACUCUGAAAUUUUUUAAAGUAAAAACUAAUACAGCAUAGCAUUGCAAUCAAGAUCUCGAGAAGGAUAUGACAUCUCCUGGUAGAAACAAUACUGGUGAUCACUAAGAAAAUGAAGAUAUAUGAAUCGCUCUGAGGACGGCUGUUUAUACACGUCUCAUUUACCUUAGUGCAGUUGCAGCUGACAGCCAUAAUCCGAUAUUAAAGUGCCUCAAAAUGCUUUAAUUUAUUGGAUAUUGGAAACAAAACGAAAUAUAAAAAGAUUUCGAUCAGACAGAGUUGAGUUUUGAACAGACAGUUCAACAGGAAACAUUAGAAAAAUAAAGAGGUUAUUGGAGAUGAUGUGAUAUAACACCCAGAUAAAUUAGAUAGAAGUCAGAGAGAGAUGCAUUUUAUUGUUUCCUACCAUUUCGUAUGAUAAAUCAAAGUAGCUUGCAUGACUACUGGUGCAAAUGAUAUCAAUAAUUCAUAUGGGUUCUAUUUCAUUAUUUGCUGUGUUAUUUUCUGAAAUUAAAUAUGGCCUCUGCGCAGCAAUAAUUUGUGCCAACGAUAUUCAAAACCCAAAACAGUUUUUCCCUUCUUCUCAAUACCAUAAAUAUAUAUAUAUAUAUAUAUAUAUAUAUAUAUAUAUAUAUAUAUAUAUAUAUAUAUAUAUAUAUAUAUAUAUAUAUAUAUAUAUAUAUAUAUAUAUAUAUAUAUAUAUAUAUAUAUAUAUAUAUAUAUAUAUAUAUAUAUAUAUAUAUGUAUCUAUAUAUAUAUAAUAUGUGUAUAUAUAUAUACAUAUAUACAUAUAUACAUAUAUACAUAUAUACAUAUAUAUAUACAUAUAUACAUAUAUACAUAUAUAUAUAUAUAUAUAUAUAUGUAUCUAUAUAUAUAAUAUGUGUAUAUAUAUAUACAUAUAUAUAUAUAUAUAAAUAUGUAUCUAUAUAUAUAUAAUAUGUGUAUAUAUAUAUACAUAUAUACAUAUAUACAUAUAUACAUAUAUACAUAUAUAUAUAUAUAUAUAUGUAUGUAUCUAUAUAUAUAUAAUAUGUGUAUAUAUAUAUACAUAUAUAUAUAUACAUAUAUAUAUAUAUAUAUAUAUAUAUAUAUAUAUAUAUAUAUAUAUACAUAUAUACAUAUAUAUAAUAUAUAAUCUCUCGCAACGCUAAGAUAGCACUAGUGAGCUAUCAUUUUUUUUACAUCUUGGAACAUUUUGCCGAAAAAUAGGUUUGUAGCUCCCACUUUUUUUUUCAUGCACCUGUAUUCUUCUUCCUUGAUACCUCGCUUCUGUGAUGUAAACUAUUUUCAUUACCACAAAAUAAUAUAUCACUUUAACCUUCACUAUGUUAUCUACAUCUUACAUAAUCCCGGCACACAAGUUCUUUUAUGUUCCUGUCUCGUUUCAUUACUUUCUCAUAUUUCAAAGAGGAAACGAGGAAAUACUUCUUAAAUUAUUCCAUUCAACAGUUCUAGAUUUGUGUUGCUGAAAUGAACCAUAAUCAUCAUUUUCUACGAUAUCUUUCACCUUCCUUACAAAGUGUUAACAGAAUAAUUCCAAUUUCGGAUAUGUUUUUCUUCAACAUUUCGACAUCACUUAAGCCUUUGUUAUUCAUUUUGUUUUGUUUUUUUUUUUACUUUUUCCUCAACUCAGAACUAUAUUUCAUUAUUGUCAAGGUCGAGUGACUUUAUUAUUUCUUAUUGCACUUUGAGUUAAGCAGCAUUCAGAAGCUUCACAUUUUAUACAUCUUUAUUCCAUUAUUUUGGAUCACUGGAUUAUGGCCAUGCUGGUGUACCAGCAUGUAAGGAUUUUUUAGUUAAUUAUAUCGACCCCAGUACUGUGGUAGAUAUUUUACAGUUCUUGCAACAUUCAAAAAGCAUAGCGAACAGUCAAAAAUUAAUAGCAUUGACAUGAUAUUGCAUACAUGCAACACAAAUGCGUGUGUGUAUAUACAUGCAUAUAUAUAUAUAUAUAUAUAUAUAUAUAUAUAUAUACAUAGAUAUAUAUAUACAUACUUUGAUACUUUGAUACUUUGAUAGGUUUCGGCCAUUAUUGGCCCAGGCCAUGUCUAACUUAAUAGCACCACCUGGUGAAGUCUUUCAAGUCAGAAUUUGGGCACUAUGGCCCACUCAAGUAGAGAGUUAUUGUUUACAGAGACAUAUCCGGGUGUAGGGGGUUUAUCCGGGAUUUCUUGAAGGAAUCUGUCCAAAGACUUCUUGAACCCUAUAGGGUCAGUUUCUGUUUUAAUGUGUUUUGGUAUAUAUACAUAUAUAUAUACAUAUAUAUGUAUAUAUACAUAUAUAUAUAUAUACAUAUAUAUAUAUAUAUACAUAUAUAUGUAUAUAUAUAUAUAUAUAUAUAUAUAUAUAUAUAUAUAUAUAUAUAUAUAUAUAUAUAUAUAUAUAUAUAUAUAUAUAUAUAUAUAUAUAUAUAUAUAUAUAUAUAUAUAUAUAUAUAUAUAUAUAUAUAUAUAUAUAUAUAUAUAUAUAUAUAUAUAUAUAUAUAUAUAUAUAUAUAUAUAUAUAUAUAUAUAUAUAUAUAUAUAUAUAUAUAUAUAUAUAUAUAUAUACAUAUACAUAUAUAUAUAUAUAUAUAUAUAUACAUAUAUAUAUGAUUGAUUGAUUGAUUGAUUGAUUGAUUGAUUCUAGUUUCAGCUUAUGAGCUGUGGCCAUGUUGGGGCACCGCCAUUUGGUGUUGCUACUUGGUUUCACUUCAUGGAGGCUUUCUAGCAACUGCUAUUUGGUGCAUGAGAGAGUUCGAUGCAGCUGCCCUCAUCUGCCCCUCCUGCCGUGAAGUUGGUUCAUCCGGGACACCUGACAGGAAGAGAUCCAGCUUCAUUUUAAAGACAUCUGUAUCCACCCCAUGCAGGUCUCUCAGGUUCUUCGGGAGGAUAUUGAAGAGCUGUGGGCCUCGGAAGCCCAGGCUAUCACAGAAUCUUGUCCUACAUCUUGAUGGCAGGUUUGGAGUCCUAGGCACCACGCAGUGGCGCCCAGUUCUGGCAUUUGCGUAACUCUCGAUGCCAAAGUUCAGGACACUUCCCUCCAGGAUCUUCCAGAUGUAUAUUAUGGCAUAUCUUUCCCGCCUACGCUCCAGGGAAUAUAAUUUUAAUCUCUUGAGUCUUUCCCAGUAGCUUACAUUCUGCAUAGAGGCUAUCUUCUUUGUGUAGCUUCGUUGGAUCGCCUCAAGUUCUGUGAUCAACUUGACACUGGAUGGUGACCAUAGCUGAGAGCAAUAGUCAAAGUGGCUUAGGACAAGUGUCUUCCAGGGGACCAUCAUGGUUUCUUGUUCUCUUGUUCUAAAGGUUCUAAGAAUCCAUCCAGCCAGCCGUCUACAUUUCAUUGUCAGUUUAGCAACAUGUACAUGAAAGGUCGCGUCAUCACUCAUGUGAAUACCCAGGUCACGCACUGAUUGUGCCUCUGGGAUUGCAAUCCCUCCGGGUCCAGUGUAUUCAUUGGGUAUUGCAUUCAGUUUUGUAUGCUGAUAGUAUAAAGCUUGAAACUUUCCAGCAUUGAACUGCAUGCUAUUCUUUUCAGCCCACUUGUAUAUUUCGUCCAGCUCACGUUGCAGGUGUUUAGUGUCCUCAGGGUUCUGUAUUGCCUGUGAAACUUUUGUAUCAUCUGCAUAACUUGUGAUCGUGGCUCUCUGCGUGGCUGAGGGCAUGUCUGAGAGGGCCAUUAUGAACAGUAGUGGUCCCAGAACAGUGCCCUGCGGAACACCGCUCACUAUUUGUGUGUUAAUGGAGGUGGCCCCAUUGGCUACUACCACCUGACUUCUAUCCUUCAGAAAGUCAUGAAGCCAUUCUCCCAGUUUUCCAACUAUGUUGAGAUCACGCAGUUUGUGACAUAUCAUUCCAUGAUCGACUUUAUCAAAGGCCUUUGCAAAGUCGAGAUAUAUCACUUCCACAUUUGAGUGGUUGAGCAGCCGUUUCAGCACCCAGUCAUAGUGUUGUAGGAGCUGAGUUAAACAGCUUCUCCCUGGUCGGAAACCAUGUUGGGUGUCGGGCAGCAAGUCAUUCUCUUCAAGGAAGGUGAUCAGCUUCCUUCUGACUAUUCGUUCCAUGACCUUGCUGAUGUGUGAGGUCAGAGAGAUAGGUCUAUAGUUCUUGGCUUCCGCUCUGCUACCUCCUUUAUGAAUGGGGCAUAUUUUACCUCCCUUCAGUUUUCCUGGAAGUUUGCCAGCCGCAAGGAAGCUCUGAAAGAGGAACUGCAGUGGUCUUGCUAGGACUCUCUUACAUGCUUUUAGGAGGAUUGCCGGGAAUCCAUCGGGGCCAGUAGCUGAGUCUGUUUUCAUUUCAUCUAUAGCCUUGGUUACAUCGUCUUCCUUUAUAUCGAUGUAAUCUAUCGUCGCCGCCUCUGAUUUUAUAUCUGCAGUGGUAAAAAAGUCAGUUGGAUUGGUGAUUUGGAGAUGCCCAAGGGGUGGAGUGAAAACACUCUUGAAUUGCUCAUUCAGUAUUUCACUUACCCUCAUUGGUUUUCCUGUAAGUGUGCCAUCCUUUUCGAGGAGUGGCCCUAUUCUACAGUGCACUGUAGCUGUUUCUUUGGCAUACCUGUAGAAAGCUCUGGGGUUAGAUUUUAUGUUUUCUAUAGCCCAGGCUUCUUUGUCUGCUCUUUCUUUUUCAUGGGAGAGUUGCAGACAUUUUUCGAUUUCCAACAGUUUUAUUUUUAGGCGGGACUUUUCACUGCUUUCAAUCUGUUUGUUUAGGCGAUUUGAAAAUUUCGAACGCCGUCUCAUUAAAAUUUUCCUCUCUCUGGGGAUUUUGUUCUUGUGUACAGUGGCCUUUCUCUCUGGGACACAUUUGUAGCAUAUGGCUUGCAUUACAGACAUGAAUUGUUGAAGUUUCACGUCGAUGUCUGGCGAGGAGAGACAUUUAGGCCAGUUUUGUUUGAGGAUCUCUUUCUCAAUUUGUUUCCAGUUUGCCUUAUGGUAGUUCAAGCUGGAAAGAUUUUGAGGGUUUCUUGUAGGCUGCAUGUCCGUGCUCUCUUUUGGCCCGUACAUGGUCAGCUCUAUCAUGUUGUGAUCCGAGAGUAGUGUCGGUGUCACUUUCACAUUAUGGAUGAGAUCCAUGUCAUUUGUGAAGCAGAGAUCCAGUGUGUUACCUGCCCUGGUUGGUUGGAGUAUUACCUGCUCCAUGUACAGGGUGUUGAUGAGGUUCAGGAGGGACCUCGCCUGUCCUCGUUCACAUCUUGUCAUUCCUGGGAGAGAAAGGCCCUCGGGCCAUCUGACAUUGGGCAGAUUGAAGUCUCCCAUAAGAAGCACACCUAUGUGUUGUUCUAAUGUGGUUAGAAUUUCUUCUAUUUUUAUAAGGCAGUCUUCAAACUUGCCCACAUGGCUUGGGGCAUCUGGAGGGCGAUAUGUAGCACACACAACUACAUCAAGUUGCCUAAUAUGUACAAUUAGUGUGUCACACACCGAGUUUGAGUAUGACAAGAGGACCUGGGGUGUGAGGUCCUCACGGAUGUACAUAGCAACACCUCCAUGACUCCUUUCUUUCCUGUCGGUCCGUAGUACAGCAUACUGUGGUAUGUGUAACUCCGCAUCUGCUAUGUCCGGUUUCAGGUGCGUUUCUGUAAGUGCUAUGCAUAUGGCUUGAUUGCAUGCAACAAAGUCUCUCAGGAACGGGAUCUUUGUCCUGUUACUGAGUGUUUGCAGUCCUCUGAUGUUCAGUAGGAGUAUCGAGGUGAGGUGUACGUUGUUGCCGGCGGUGUCCAUCCUGUGUCUGUUUGCUGUGGUGGUCUGGUAUAUAGUGGGUAGUGCCACCUGCGGGCUUGGGUUUGAUGAAGCCAGGUCAGCUGCUGUACAAUCUUUUGUGCCAUGCACAAAAAAGAUUGUUGCUCAGCAGCUGCUCUUUCGACAACAUCAUGUUGGCUGUUUGUGGCGCGCACAACAUCUGCGUACCUCCGCUUUGGGGCAGGUGGUGCGUGGUCCAUCCCUUUUCUUUGUGUUGAUGGUUUGUCCAUCUGCCUCGUGUCUCUGUGGCAGGGUCCCCGAUGUGCAAAGCGGCAGCCUGCACCUUCCUUUCCAUGCCAGCAGGAACCUCUCAGGUAGAACAUACACACCCGUGUGCGCUGUUUGGUUCCAUCCUUUGCGGUUCCACUUCUAUUUCUGGUUGUUUCACUCUUUGGUCCUGCUUGAGCUUUUUCUUUUCCUUUAGCUCUUCCAGUCCUUCUUUUAGUUCUUCUUCCUCCCUCUACCUCUUCACCGGGUUCUCCGUCUCCAUGGCCCUUGCUGCCGGUUGGAGAACUUGCACCUGGGUUCACUUCCCGGGCAGGUUUCUCAUUCAAAACCUCCUCCCGGGCGUCCACCAGGUGGGGGUGACUUCUUUCAUCGUCUCCAUUCUUGCCAUCUUUGCCCCGCUCGUUCUCAAAGAUGGCAUCAAGUGCGCCAAUGUGCGACCGUACAAGCGUAUAUGAGCGCACGAAUUCCUGUCUCUUUCGCUCCAUCUGAGCCGCCGUCCUCUUGUAGCCUCUGCUCUUCAGCGCAGCCGCAAUCACCUCGCUAGGGCUAUCUCCGCCGGCGCACUCCCAUGCUCGUACGAAUAAAUCCAGCUCGUCACGUCUCCAUGCUCUGGACAUGCUGGAUAAUCCGUCUAUCCGUUUAUCUAUCUAAUUAUGUUCGAGAGAAGACAGGAAGAUAUUAAGGCUAAUUAGAAGAUAGAGUACUUGAAAAAGAAAUAUUAACAAUAUUAAAGUUUGUGUAAAAACGUUAUUUGGGUAAAAACGUUAUUUAAUCUUAAGGCUAAUUAGGGGAUAGAGUAUCUGAAAAUGUAUUAGCAAUAUUAAUAUUAUAUUAGAGUGUGGAUAAAAACGUUGUUUAAUCUUAAGGCUAAUUAGGAGAUAGAGUAUCUGAAAAUAUAUUAGCAAUAUUAAUAUUAUAUUAGAGUGUGGGUAAAAAAAAAACGUUAUUUAAUCUUAAGGCUAAUUUGGAGAUAGAGUAUCUGAAAAUAUAUUAGCAAUAUUAAUAUUAUAUUAGAGUGUGGGUAAUAUUAAACGUUAUUUAAUUUAAUCUUAAGGCUAAUUAGAAGACAGAGUAUCUGAAAAAUUAUAUAUACAAUAUUAAGCAAUAUUAACCGUUAUUUAAUUUAAUCUUAAGGCUAAUUAGACGUUAUUAAUAUUAAACGUUAUUUAAUUUAAUCUUAAGGCUAAUUAGAAGAUAGAGUAUCUGAAAAUGUAUUAGCAAUAUUAAUAUUAUAUUAGAGUGUAGAUAAAAACGUUAUUUAAUCUUAAGGCUAAUCAGGAGAUAGAGUAUCUGAAAAUAUAUUAGCAAUGUUAAUAUUAUAUUAGAGUGUGGGUAAUAUUAAACGUUAUUUAAUUUAAUCUUAAGGCUAAUUAGAAGAUAGAGUAUCUGAAGAAUUAUUAACAAUAUUAAAACAAUAUUAAACGUUAUUUAAUUUAAUCUUAAGGCUAAUUAACAAUAAUUAUUAACAAUAUUAAACAAUAUUAAACGUUAUUUAAUUUAAUCCUAAGGCUAAUUAACAAUAAUUAUUAACAAUAUUAAACAAUAUUAAACGUUAUUUAAUUUAAUCUUAAGGCUAAUUAACAGUAAUUAUUAACAAUAUUAAACAAUAUUAAACGUUAUUUAAUUUAAUCCUAAGGCUAAUUAACAAUAAUUAUUAACAAUAUUAAACGUUAUUUAAUUUAAUCUAAUCCUAAGGCUAAUUAGACGUUAUUAAUAUUAAACGUUAUUUAAUUUAAUCUUAGGGCUAAUUAGAAGAUAGAGUAUCUGAAAAAUUAUUAACAAUAUUAAAACAAUAUUAAACGUUAUUUAAUUUAAUCUUAAGGCUAAUUAACAAUAAUUAUUAACAAUAUUAAACAAUAUUAAACGUUAUUUAAUUUAAUCCUAAGGCUAAUUUGACGGUAUCAAUAUUAAACGUUAUUUAAUUUAAUCUUAAGGCUAAUUAGAAGAUAGAGUAUCUGGAAAAUUAUUAUAUCGAUAAUAGAUAUUGAAAAUGUAAACAAACAAAAUGACGAUCGCAACUUUAACUAAGAUGUGGGCCUAAGUGAAAGAUAAAAUAGAAUAAUAAAUAAAAUAUGAAAUAGAUGAAAUUGAUACUUAAUCCAACAAUGUGGUCUGGAUUAUUUUUUUUGGUUUACGGGAUUUUUUUCAGGAGAGAUACUUCUUUUUCUUUCUUGCAGGAGAUAACUUGAUUCAGUUAUUUUUGCACCAUGUGCGUUUCGGCGGAAAUGAAAAUUACUGUGUAUAUGUAUAUAUUUAUAUAUAUAUUUUUAAAAAUAUUUUUAACCAAAGUGUUGUAGUGAUCUCAAUGACUUAGAGUUUUACGUUUUGCAAAUACAGUGGGUUAUUUCGCCGUUCUAUGCAAACUUUUUCACAGAGCAAAGGCAAUCACGUCUUUCUCUGCUGAAAACGGAACCGAUAUAUAUAUACAUAUAUAUAUAUAUAUACAUAUAUAUAUAUACAUAUAUAUAUAUAUAUAUAUAUAUAUAUAUAUAUAUAUAUAUAUAUAUAUAUAUAUAUAUAUAUAUAUAUAUAUAUAUAUAUAUAUAUAUAUAUAUAUAUAUAUAUACAUACAUGCAUAUAUAUAUAUAUUUAAUCCAAACAAGAAAGCACAAAAAAGCGCAACAACGCGAGGACGUGGAACAAAUAUAGUAUUAUUGGACGCUCAGGUAAGAAGGAAAGAAGGAGGGUUUAACGUUUCGAGCGGAGCUCUUCGUCGGAAACAUAGGAGAAGGAAAGAUCCAGAGAAGGGAAGACAGAGGAAAAAAUCGCCAACGGUACACACGAGGUCACAUACAUACAUACAUACAUACAUACAUACAUACAUACAUACAUACAUACAUUCAUAUAUAUAUAUAUAUAUAUAUAUAUAUAUAUAUAUAUAUAUAUACAAAGUAAGGAUCAAUGCAGAUUAUGUGUCUCAAUAUUGAUGUGCAAAUGUGCAGUAACACCUGUUUAACUAAAUUAUGAAAACAAAGGGAAAAAUAGAAUGCAAAAUACAAAAAAAAAAUCAGACAUGACUGUGCGGUUGAGAAGUUUGCAUUAUAAUCACGUGGUUCUGGAUUCGAUCUCUGCAUCGGACAUUGGGUAAUUUUUUCUUCUACUAUCAUUUUGGGUUGGCCUAUAGUUUAUGAGUGAAAUUUAGUAGACUGGAAGUGUGGAAGCCUUCGUAAGUGUGUUUAUGCAUGCAUAUAUAUAUAUAUGUAUGUAUUUAUGCAUGCAUUUAUGUAUGUAUGUAUCUAUGUAUGUAUGUAUGUAUGUAUGUACGUAUGUAUGUACGUAUGUAUGUAUCUAUGUAUGUAUGCAUGCAUGUAUGAAUACAGACAGAUAUACUCAUAUAUGUAUACAUAUACAUACAUAUAUAUAUAAAUAUCUGCAUCAUACAUACAUACACACAUACAUACAUACACACAUACAUACAUACAUACAUACAUACAUACAUACAUACAUACAUACAUACAUACAUACAUACAUACAUACAUACAUAGCUAUAACACUAUCUAUGACAUUAUGACAUUUUAUGUCCAAGACUGAUAAAAGCAAUGGGAGGAGAUGAUUUCACAUGAGUCAUCUUCGUAUUGGAUUCUUGACCCGACUGUUCAGAAUAGACUAAACUUUCCUAAAAGCACUCAGGAUUCAGGUGAUAUUGUUAAACCGAAUGACGGAUUGUAUAUACUGCCUAUGACUUACAACCGGUUAUAAAAACCAAUCUUAUGUCCGUUUUGUUUAAAUGGGAGACCAACAACGUUGUGCUGAAAUACUGACUCCUGCUGUUGGCAUAGCUUGUGUUUGGGGCACUUUCAAUCUCCAAGACUUUUAUUGCGAUGUUUUGUUGAUUGGAACGUUUCUGCCAUACAACGGUAACGUUUUGUAUUCUACCUUUGAGAUACACAUUUCCUAUGGUGUUACGUGAGUUUAUUUCAAUUAUUUAAUGUUUUCAUGUGUCUGGCAAAUAUUCCACGCGCUGACUUAUCUAACAAACAUAUUUUUAUUGCCAGACAGUUUACUUUUCUUAAUUUAUAUUUUGGAAAAUCCGGUAACUAGUGUAAGUAUCUGGACUGUCGUCUGUGAUUUUCGGUUCAUAGAGAUAUAAAAUAUAUUCUAGUUACAGUCGAAAUACUUAUGCAUGACUCCUAGAUAAGACACAGGUAUAUUUAUACAUAUCAAAAUGUUUUAUGGCUUAGUAGACGAGGUCUGAUGAGGAGGAGGGAUAGCCUUGACUUUUCGCUGGGUUUUGAAGACUGGUUAAGAAAUGGGAUAAAGAAACCAGUAGGAGUUAGUACAUUAGAAUAACAAGAGAGCUGGUCUGAAUGUUUGUAAGAGAAGUGACUCUGUCAAAUAGUGGUUUAAAUUAGACUAUGGAUUAAAUCGGUUGGCUCAACAACAAGUACAGUCGACCUAAAGGAUUUCUAUACUGUUUCACCUACCCGCUUUUACUCAAGAGCUUGGCUUAACCAACUAAGGCAAAAUACUGAUAAGUAAAACUAACACAAAUAGAACGAGGGACAGAAGAGAUGGACAGUUGGACAACGUGAGAGAUUACAAUAGGUACGUACUUUUCAAUUACAUGCUGUAGCAUACUCUUGUCCAAGUUAUCGCUUUUUUGCUCUGAACAUAUAAAACUGGCUUAGCAUUUAUUUUUAAAUGACGCAUGCCAUGUAUGAUGAUCAGUGCUCUGAGUUCAAAUAUCACCAUUGACGAAUCUACUUUCAUUUUCCCAAGUCUUGACAACUAUUAGUUUGGAGGUGUUUCAACAAUUAUUUUUAUAUUAAGAACCAGACUAAAACUCAUAUUAUUUGUUUCAUUUCACUACGUCCUGGGUUAAGUUCCCAACGAGGUCAACUUAUAUUUUCAUUUUCCCGAGGUAGAAAAAAAAUUAAUUGUCUUUGUGCCUAAAAUGGAAUCGAUAUUACCCUCGUAUGAAAGUGUAUAACUUCAGAUUUAUACAAGACAGAGAGAGAGAGAGAGAGAGCGAUAGAGACGUAAAGUUAUAAAUUUUACUUUGGCACUGCUCAAGUAAAUAAACUGAAAUAGUUUCAAAUAUAAGCAAAAAGUUUAUUAAGGAAGCAGUUUGCCAGAAAACUCUAUACUGACUUCAAGUCUAAUUUAUGCUUACAUUUUUACUUGAAUACAAAAGUCAGAUUUCAUAGGAAUAAAAGAUGGUGAAAUGCAAGACACAUAGCUCAACCACAGGUGUUAGUACUAUAACUGAAGUGAACUAGUUAUAAGCUGAUAUUAAAUUAUAGAGAAGCAAGUGACUAAGUCAAUGUGGUUUUUAUAUAUCGAGCAUUGAGUCAAUUAUCUGUUUCACCAUCUCGGUAAGGUGUUGUAUCCUUGGCUAAGACAACUUUCAUUAGCUUGAUUCGACAGUUUGUAUAUGAUGUUUUUAAUAGCUUUAUCACAGAAGGAAUCUCAGGCCCCAUACUCCUUUUCUGGGCGUCCGAAAUUAAAUAGGAAUAAAAUACGAAAUUAUCCUCAGACCGGAAAUCUAACGCAAAUACCUGCAACAGAAUGGAUUCCUCUAAGACACCUAAAGACUAGGUGGGAUUGAUAAAAUAAGUCAACAGGUGAAGUCUAUUAUCCAAGGAUAUGAACUCAUAAGGCUUGUGUCACUCUCGGGCUAUAGUAGAAUAAAACUUACCCAAGGUGCCGUGUAGUGGGAUCGAACAAGAUGCCACGUAGUUGUAAAGCAAAUUCAUAAACCACGCAACCAUACCUACGCCCACUGAGUAGAUACGGUAAUUGCAUUAGAGUUUAUAUUGUAAGGAUCAUGAGAACUGCGUAAUUAAUGGAUAUUAUGUAAGAUUAUAGUGCUAGCUUUGUUCAUGGUGAAUAUACUCAGAAUAUAGUCAUGUCUAGUCCAUCUCAUCAACGUCACUUGUGCGGGUCCACUAAGUAUACACUAACGACGGAAUAUGCUUGAGUGUGGCUGUUUUGGUUGGUAACGAUUUGGCACAGCUGACUGGACUUUCGACUUGUUUUGGUGACUGUAUGUCUUUGCCCUGGAAAUACACACAUGCACAUGCUCACACACAAAUACGCACUUACACUCAUGCACGACACACAGAAAUAUAUACAUGCACAUAGAGAGAGAGAGAGUGAAAGAAACAUUACAAUUUAUUUAUUGAACACGAUUUACGUAAACACUUUCCUUCCGUUUCCUCUUGCACACGAAGAGAAAUAUGUUUAUGUGUGCUCACACACUAAACACAGUGAGAAUGAAAGAAACAUUAAAAGAUCCAAUGUCAAAUAAGUCAGCAUCGAAUCAGCGACGCCUAAGAGGCAGCGCCAAAACAGUUGUAUCAAGAUGUCUCAUACUCAUCUAACAAUACAUGUUAUAUGAUGUAAAAUUAAUCCAAACAUGAAAAUACAAAGAGAAAACACAACAACGCAGGGACGUGAAACAAGUAUAGUGUUAUUGGAUGCUCAGGAUUUAACGUUUCGAGCGAAGCUCUUCGUCAGAAACAUAGGAAAAGGAAAGAUCCAAGGAAGGGAAGACGGAGGAAAAAAAAUCGCCAACGAUACACACGCGGUCACAUAUAUGAUGUAGUCCGGAACACAGUAUUCCGGAAAAACCUUAGAGGUGGCUAUGCAUAGAAUGUCUUUGAUCAUAAGCCUGCCCGAACAGGUGCGACUUGUAUAGAGUUGCUAAACAGCAACACUACCCACAAAGUGAACAUGAUCUGAAUGCUUCAGAAACCGAAACCAAGUCUUCGGACUCAACUAAUCGUGAAAUAAAUUAUUUCCUAUGAGGUUUGCUACUAUUUUCUUUAGUGAUUUUUUAAUCUCUUUUUUCUCCUAUCCUUCCUCCAUCGCCCCUUCCCUCUCUUUUUCUUUCUCUCCUUCUUUUCUCUCUUUCUCUUCUCUUUCUCACUAUCACUCUCUCUUUAUCUAUCUAUCUAUCUACCAAUCUAAUUCUUUAUAUAUCUGAAAAUCCUUUUCACCCUAUCUUUAUUGAAUAAAUGUUUUGUGAAUGAAUGUCUCAUAUUCAUUAAACAACAUCGCUUUACUUAAGUCACAUAAACUUCAUGUCCACUUCGUGCUUUGCUCUUGAAUUCUUAGAGUAAUUGGUAUUAUAUGUACAACUUUGAUCUGUAAUCAAUAGAGUGACCACAUGGAGUCGAUUUAAAAGAUUAUCUAUCCUGUUCUGUAUACAUAAACCUUUACCUACGAUAGAAACUUCACUGCGUGCUUUUCUUCCAUUAAAUCAGAAAAUUAUUUCGGUGGUGUCUAUAGAAUGAUUACAUUUACAGAAUUUUAAGAACUCACUCUGUUAUUGAUUGAUUUGUUCUUGUUGCUAUUGUUGAUGAUGAAAUCGUUGUUGUUGUUGUUGUUUUUAUAUAAGUGUAAGAGAAAAUAAAUGGGAUUAUGUAAAUUCAGAACUAUUCUAUGUCAUUACCGAUGUAAAUGAAGUGAUGUGGAAUGGCUACAGCCAAGAAUUCAAAGCCAUUUCUUGAACUAGAUUCUCUAAAUGUUUACUCUUGUUCUGCAGUAAAUUACAGCAUGAUUUUCUAACCUUCUGGACUUUACUGAUUUGUCCUACUCACCACUUUACAAUCAAGAUGUCUCAAGACAGUAGCACACUCGCUGAAUAACCCUUUACAAUUGCUGAUUGCUUCGAUUCCAAUUAGACAUCAUUUGAACCAAAGUGGGGAGUUUCCACGUGGUAUUUCUAGAAAUAGCAGCCAAAUUUCCAUCAAAUAUCGCACAUCCAGCUUCUUAAAUAUAUUCUAGGCAUGCGCACAUGGUUCUGGAUUCAGUCCCACUGUGUGUCACCUUGGGCAAGUGUCUUCUACUAUAGCCUCGGGCCGACAAAAACCUUGUGAGUGGAUUUGACAGACGGAAACUGAAAGAAGCCCGUCGUAUGUAUGUGAGUGUGUGUGUCUGUUUAUAUCUGUGUGUCUGUGUCCCUCCCACCGCCAUCGCUUGACAACCAGUGCUGGUGUGUUUAUGCCCCCGUAACAUAGCGGUUUGGCAAAAGAGACCGAUAGAAUAAGUACUAGGCUUACAAAGAAUAAAUCCUAGGGUCAACUUGUACGACUAAAACCCUUCAAGGCGGUGCUCCAGCAUGGUCGCAGUCAAAUGACUGAAAUAAAUAAAAGAAUAAAAUACGAGGUAUGUUUAUGACUGGAAUGCCUUUGAUUAGACUUGACUUGGAGUUAAUAACUUGACACUGAAUCCACUCAAAACUCAUCCAAAUAUCUGAUUAUUAUCAACAUCUCUUAGUGAUCCAACCAAAUGAUGCACAUAGUCUACAACGUGCGAAAACUCCCUCGAUCAUUCCAAUUUUCGAUCAUUCCAAUCUUCGAUCAUUCCAACCCAAAUGCUAGACCUGACAGUAUUUUGUUAUUUCUUUACUGUCCACAAGGGGCUAAACAUAGAGGGGACAAACAAGGACAGACAAAUGGACUAAGUCGAUUACAGCUACCCCAGUGCGUAACUGAUACUUAAUUUAUCGACCCCGAAAGGAUGAAAGGCAAAGUCGACCGCGGCGGAAUUUGAACUCAAAAGGUAGCGGUAGACGAAAUACCUAUUUCUUUACUACCCACAAGGGGCUAAACACAGAGGCGACAAACAAGGACAGUACGUAACUCUGGUACUUAAUUUAUCGACCCCGAAAGGAUGAAAGGCAAAGUCGACCUCGGCGGAAUUUGAACUCAGAACAUAAUGCAGACGAAAUACCGCUAAGCAUUUCGCCCGGCGUGUUAACGUUUCUGCCAGCUCGCCGCCUUUCCUUACAGUAUUUUGUUCAACCCUAAUUACUGCGCUCUAGCACUAACCACUACAUUGUCCAGACUAUUAUGUCUCUUUCUCUGCUCCCACUCUUGCUCUCUUUCACGAAGACUUUCGUCAUCAUCAAACUCGCCUGUCUGAUAUAAGGGUAAGGAGGGUUAUACAGGACUAUUUUAUUUUAAAGCAUAAUUUCCCACAGUCAAAUACAUGUAUGUAUGUAUGCGUGUAUGUGUGUGAGUUUUGUGUGUGAGUGCAGUAAAAGGACAUUAUAGAUAUAGUGAUAGAGAUAGCGACAGAGACAAAGAAGUAGAAAAGAAGACUGGAAGAAUUAAAAGAUAAGAGAAAUCUUAAUUCUAACACUAAUCUUAGUUAAAAUUCUAUCAGAUUAAUCAUUAGGAGUAAGCAAUCUGCGUCGGUUUCACUUCCACCUCCUCACCACCAUUAUCUCUAUAUUGCUUCAUCUCUGUGUGUCUCUCUCUUCCUCUCUCUCUCUCUCCUUCUCUCUCCCUCUCUCUCUCUCCCUCUCUGUCUUAUACUUUCUCCACUCACUUUACCUCUCACCCGUUCUCUGCCACCAUUUCUCUCUCUCUCCCUUUCUUUCUUUUCUCUCUCUUUCUCUCCAUUUCUCUCUCUUUCUUUCCCUCUUUCUCUCCCUCUUUCUCUCUCUCUCGCCUCCCUCUCUCUCUCUCUCUCUCACUUUCUUUCUUUCCCUUUCUCUCCCGCGUUUCCUCUUACCACUUCUCUCUCUCUUUCUCUCUCUCUCGUCUCCCUCUCCGUCUCCCUCUCUCUCUUUCUGUCUCUGUCUCUCCCUUUGUCUCUCUUUCUCUCUCUCUCUCUUCCUCUCUCUCUCUCUCUCUCUCUCUCUCUCUCUCUCUCUCUCUCGCGAAUAAUUUUUAAUCAGCCGUUCUGAUAGAGGUUAAAAUCCAGUUAUCUAAUAUUUCGUAUAAAACGCUUUUCUGCAUUCAUUUUUCUAAAUUCCUGUCUCAUUACUUUAUCUGUCAAAAAAUUAUUUUCCUAAGCAGCAUUGCCAUAAUAAAAUAAAUGACUUCAGACAAGAAUCGAAACCACAUUCUAUCCUGCAGGCAUGCUUGUGUGGUAACAGAAGUCUGACCCUCUGCCACAUGUUUCCAGGUUUAGUCCUAGUACGUGGCACCUUAGGCGGGUGUCUACUUCUAUAGCGUCGGGCUGGACAAACCUUUGUGAGUGGAUUUAAAAGUGAAAGUGAAACCACAGAAACCAUAGAAAUGGUUUCAUAGAAACGGUUUCCUGGUUUCUAUGGUGUAUAAAUUCCCCACCUGGACGUGACACCUGGUCAAUUGCAGGAUUACUCAUUUUUGCCAGGUGGCUGGACUGCAGCAACAUGAAAUGACGUGUUUUGCUAAAAAAACACAACGCGUUGCCCGGUACAGGAAUCGAAACCACAGUCUUACGAUCAUGAGUCCAACACCCUAACCACUAAACCACGCGCCACCACUGUCAGUGGAUUUGGUACAUGGAAACUAACACACACUGCUUGAUAACCAUCACUUAAUAACCUGCGUUGCUGUAUUUUCGUCCCAAUGGCCUAGUGGUUCGGCAAAAGAAAGCGAUAAAAUAAGUAUCAGGCUUUAAAAAAAAGAUUCAAUAAGUACUAAGAUCGAUUCGUUCGGCUAAAAUUCUUGAAGGCGGUGCCCCAGCAUGGCCGCAAUCUAAUAUACUGAAACAAGUGAAAAUUAAGAAACAAGCAAAUUUGAUAAACAUGAAAUUUAGGUCAAAUUUUUUUGGCUAUUCCCUGUAUAAAAAUGUCAACCUACGUAUGUAUAAUACUUCAAAUACACACUCAUAUAUACACACCCUACAUAAUUAUAUAUAAGCGCAGGCGUAGAUGUGUCGUAAGUGUCCAGUUUGGAGAGAGUUCUCUUCUGUUACCUGAUUUUCAGCUGAUAGUAAACCAGACUUAUUGCGUAACGUGAAAUGUUUAAAUAUCGGAGAAUUGUUACUGUUGAUAAUAUAAUUUUCAGACUAUUAGCCUCAUCUUUAGACAGUAUAAUUUACAAUAUAUUUUUUUAUCUAUACUUCGUUUAGUAUUGUUAAGCCAAACUCUUUUGUAGGAAAUGAGAUGGUAUUAUGUAUACAUAUUAUGUGUGUGUGUGUGAAUGUGUGUGUUGUGUGUGUGUAUGUUUGUGUGUGCAUACAUACACACUCCACACCUUUAUUUAUCCUGUAAAGGAAUUCAAAUGGUUGACCAAGUUUUGUAGAGCACCACAGUUCCAUUGGUUGAUUGAAUUUACAUGAUAAGAAUCAGUCAAUUCUGUUCAUUUGUCUUUCAAAAUGGUACCUGAUUUUCUACAUUACAGUGUAAAUAUCAUGUUCAGACAGUUAGCAAUCUAUGUUGCUUUCCUCUCAUUUCCACCCCCGCUGGAAGUAUGCGCUCUAUUGAAUUAUCUCAUAUCUGCGCAUAUAUAGCUUCAUACGCAUAAAGUGUCCAUUGCACCUGACUUUAUUACUCAUAUAUAUGUAUAUGUAUGUAUAUAUAUAUAUAUAUAUAUAUAUAUAUAUAUAUAUAUAUAUAUAUAUAUAUAUAUAUAUAUAUACACUCAUAUAUAUUUUUUAAAGAAAAAGUUUUACAUUUAUAAAUACAUAUAUGAAUACAUACAUACAUGGAAACCACCCACGAGCAAACUAAUUCGAUAGUGUUACACUAACUACACACGAAGGCAUUUACAUAUUCAUGCACACACGUCAAACACUAGGAGUGACCAUAUACACAAACACAUUAAUUAGCCAAAAACUACCUGUGUACAUCAAAGUUAAAUAUUCACACGAAUAAUCAUGUACACACACUGCUAAAUACAAUAUGCGGCACCGGACAAAUUUAGUUACCUAAUGUAUUGCGAGCAUGCGCACCCAGUAAGUGUAAGAUUUAUCUGCUCCUGGUGAUCAGAGUCUGCUCGUUAUCUCUUUAUGCAUUGAAAUGGACGAGUUCUUUGUACGAUCAUUCAGUGCAGAUAAACAUGUCUUCUCUAUCCAACAUGCAUGCCAGCGGUCUUCUCGACUCUAUUUAUGUAUGUGUAUAUAUAUAUAUGUGUGUGUGUGUGUGUGUGUGUGUGUGUGUGUGCGCGCGCGUGUGUGUGUGUGUGUGUGUGUGUGUGUGUGUGUGUGCGUGUGUGUGUGUGAAAGCGCAUGGCUCAGUGGUUAGAGCAACGAGCUUACGAUCGUGAGGUUGUAAGCUCGAAUCCCGGACCGAGCUGCGUGUUGUGUUCUUGAGCAAGACACUUUAUUUCACGAUGCUCCAGUUCACUCAGCUGUAGAAAUGAGUUGCGACUUCACAGGUGCCAAACUGUAUCGGUCUUUGCCUUUCCCUUGGAUAACACUGGUGGCAUGGAGAGGGGAGGUCAGUAUGCAUGGGCGAAUACUAGUCUUCCAUAAACAACCUUGCCCGGACUUGUGCCUGGGAGGGUAACUUUCUAGGUGCAAUCCCAUGGUCUAUGUCAUAACCGAAGGGGGUCUCAGUGAUAAAUAUAUAUACACGUAAAUGUCGAACGAUGAAAAUGAGUGCAUUGGUAGAUAAAAUUUCUUUAUUUGUAAAUUAAGACACUAGGAUAUUUUUCUACUUGAAACCAAUGCUAUAUAAAUAUAUAUAUAUAUAUAUAUAUAAGCAGAAAAUGGAGAAAACUUUUGAUCAACAAACAAAUUGAUCAACAUUGGUUGAUUAUGUUUUAAUACAAAACAUAUUUCUUACAGCCGUUUCGGCUGCCAAUAUCAGUCGGUGCUGACAAAGAAAAUUCCGAAAAUAAUAUUCGUCAUCUUUAUAGCACAUUCGAUCUAGUACAUGGAGCUUCAUUAGAGUGAAUAGAAAUACAUAAAAUAACAGAAAGGUAGAAGGAAGAGGAAAGAACAGGGCCUCAAGACGAGGCCAGAAGGCUUAAUUUAUUAGAAUCAUGCCACUUUGCAGUGUGAAGCUUGAUGUCGCAAGGCAAAAGAGUGAACUUGCAAAUAAACUAGAGAAAUAAUUUAUGGGUUAUCUCUUUAUAUAGGGAUACCAGGGUGAAUCGCCAAUAUGUCUAGAAAAAGAACAGUAUUUAUGAUUUCGUAAAUAGGGCUAAUUGAUAUUUAUCCAAAACCAAACCCGUAGAGUUUUUUAUAAUGGUAUACUUACUUAAAUAUUCAAGAGACCGACCACCUGUUGCCCGUAAUGGAAUUGACCAAAGUUCAGCCAUCUCUACAAUUGGUCAGUUAUAUUUAAAUUAAGGGAAAGUUAGGAUCGUUACAGGGAUAGACGUAAAUAAAGAAGAAAAUGAACCAGUAAAUAAAAGGUGUGGGGAGAAGAAUAUAUCAUAAGUGGCAUGAGGCCACUUAUGCCCUUCUACAACCUCUCAAUAUAACAUAAGAUAAAAAUAAAAAUAAAAAUAUAAAAUAAGAUAAAUAUUAGCAAGCAACAUGGCUAUAAACUUUUUUACAGUUAGGGGGAGACUACUGAUAGGGGAGGUGAAUACUAGUGGAAAUUACCUCCGAAAUAUAAUGCCAAAUCUGACAUCUUAAAUAACCAGCAUGCUUCCAAGUGGUGGUAAUACUAAAUGAACAAGUAAAUAUCUACACGGUCCUGAGUGCAUUCUGCCUCUUAGACAUACGAGAGGGAAAAAGUACAAAAAACCCCAAACAAUUAAACGAUUACAAGUUAAAACACUUGCUAAUUACUAACAUGAAGCUCCAUGUACUAGGUCGAAUAUGCUAUAAAGGUGGUGAAUAUUAUUUUCGGAAUUUUAUUUGUAAGCACCGACUGACAUUGGCAGCCGAAACAGCCGUAAGAAAUGUUGUGUAUUAAAAGAUAAUUAACCGAUGUUGAUCAAUUUGUUUGUUGAUCAAAAGUUUUCUCUAUUUGCUACUUAUUUAAAUUUGAUUCCUGAUAAACUUUUGCUUAUUCUGUUAUUACCUGUGUCCUAUGAGCAUAGUGUGCUUGCAUACCCAUGACCAGAGAUAGCAUAGGUAAAUGAUACCGGUAGUAAGAACGGAUAUUCUUAUCCCCUUAGACGGUUAUUCCAACCACUAACUCUGCUCACAUUUAUAUACAUAUAUAAAUAUAUAUAUAUAUAAAUAUAUAUAUAUAUAUAUAUAUAUAUAUAUAUAUAUAUAUAUAUAUAUAUAUAUAUAUAGGCACAAACAUGGCUGUGUCGUAGGAACUUGCUUCCCAACCACAUGGUUCUGGGUUCAUUCCCAAUGCGUGGCACCUUGGUCAAGUGCCCUCUACUAAAGCCACGGGCCGACCAAAGCCUUGUCAAGCAGUGGUGUGGGGGACAAACAUUGACACAGAGACUCCUACGCAUAGAUAUAUACAUACAUUUAUAUGUGUGUGUGUGUAUAUAUAUAUAUAUAUAUAUAUAUACGACGAGCUUCUUUCAGUUUCUGUCUACUAAAUCUAACGGUUGGUCGGCCCGAGGCUAUAGUAGUAGAUACUCGCCCAAGAUACCACGCAGUGGGACUGAGCCUGGACUCCUCUGAUUAGAAAGGAAGCUUCUUACGACACAGCCACGCCUACACUUAUAUCUAUAUGUGUGUGUGUAUGAAUGUAUGUGUGUGUGCAUAUAUGUAUAUAUAUGAUUGAUUCUAGUUUCAGCUCAUGAUCCGUGGCCAUGCUGGGGCACCGCCAUUACAUAUAUAUAUAUAUAUAUAUAUCAUCACUAUACAUAUAUAACAUUCAUAUUAUACAUAAAUAUACAUAUAUACACACAUUAACACAUAGGCACAGACACUCACAUACAUAAUUUCAGACCUUUUAAUGUCAUUUCGCAAGCUUUAAUACUAUCAACACACUUCGAGAGGGACAUUAUUUACUCCAAGAGGAACGCCGUUUUACUGUCGAGAAUCUUCUGAGAUUAGGCUUAAGAACGUUGCCAUUUUGAUUAUGCAACUUUAAAUGCCUCAAUUUUCUGCAUACAAUGAUUUGCUUUUCAUGCCGUUGUGUAUACUCUGUGUGAGUUACCUAUAGAGAACCGUAUAUACUUGCGGAUAUGCUUUUGUACCAAAUUGCAGUUGACAGUCAAAUUAAAUAUCUGUCUAUCCGUUUGCUUCUUUGUCACUCCCUCUCCUUCUCCCUGUCUUUCUCAGUCCAUAUUUGUAACUAUGAUAUAUAUAUAUAUAUAUAUAUAUAUAUAUAUAUAUAUAUAUAUAUCUGUCUAUAUCGUAAAGACACCCACACAAUACAUCAACCCACACACAGACACACAGAUACAUAUAUUUAUAUAAUUAUUUUCCAGCCUUUAACGAAGCUAAUCCACUUGAAGUAAAACACUGUUCUACCGAGAAAGAAAUCUUGUGACACGAGGUUAAUAAUUGUCAUUUUGAAUAUCUAACUCUAUUGUUCUCCGCAUACAAUUAUUUGCCUUUUAUGCUGUAUUCUUUCUUCUCUAUUAAUUGCAAUUAUGUAGCUUUAUAUGCUUGUUGAUAUAUGCUUUUGCCACAAAUUAUUGUUGACAGUCAAAAUAUGUAUCUAUCUAUCUAUCUAUAUAUAUAUCUGUCUGUCUAUCUGUCUUGCUCUAUACACACGCAUCAUUUCUCAAACCUUUAUGACACACCGCAAUGCUCUUGUACGAAAUUAUUGUUGACAGUCAUAUAUAAUCUGUGGGUAUGUGUACGUGCAUGUAUACAUACAUACAUGCAUAUUCGUAUACACAUAUAUAUGCACACACAUAUGCACGUACACGCACAUAAUAACACACACUCACACACUAAUUCACAUAUGUGUAUAUAUAUACGUAGAUGUGUAUGUAUACUAUACUUGUUCCACGUCCUCGCGUCGUUGUGUUUUCUCUUUGUUCAUGUCUGGAUUAACUAUAUAUAUAUAUAUAUGUAUACACUCAUAACCACAUGCAAAUACAUAUUGUUGAUAGUACACUAACAGCAAUACCAGUAAUUAGUUAUAUAAAGAAAGCAGUACAUGACAAAUAUUAUUUCUAUCACUUUGAAUAGAAAACUAUAAAUGAGAUAAUGAGUUACGAAUGAGCUUACUGUAACUAUUUUUUCUUUCCUUCACCACGCUUCUUUAGGUGAUAUAUCCCUAAUCGCAGCUAAACUCACGUAUCCUGUUUCUAAGAACAAUAUCAAUUUAGUUGUCUAUGACAAUAUCAAAUUGGUAUUCUCAUAGGAAUAUUCAACCGAUUAUUUUUUUCCAUUUUUUUUUCCUUUUGAUAUUUACUGAAAUGCUUUGGCUAACUGCGUUUAUGAAACAUUUGGUCUUUCUAAUGAGGCGAACAAAGGUGCUUCUACGGGUUGAAAUGUAUAUCUAAGUCAAUAAUGGUUCCAAAUUAUGGCACAAGGAUAGUAAUCUUAAUGAGAGGAUGUAACCGAUUAUAUCGAACCCAGUGUUUCACUGGUACGUAUUACAAGUGUAUCGAUCAUGAAUUGAUGAAAGGCAAAGUCGUCUUUGGUGGAAUUUAAACUCAGAAUGUAUAGAACUGGAAGAAAUGUCGCUAAGCAUUUAAAUCGGAUGCAGUAACGAUGUCGCUAGCUCGCCGCCAAGGAAUAAGGUAAUGAUCAGGUCAUAAAUGUGUGACGAAAGACUUUGAUACAUAUAUAUAUUCUCUAACAGAGGCAUAGCGUCUGAAAUUUGAAGAAGAUAACUGUAAUUGGUACUUAAUUUUAUCGAAACCGAAAGUAUGAAAACCACAGUUGAUAUGUGGGAGUUUGAACUCAACGUAAAGAGCCAUAAUAAGUAUGGCAAGGCAUUGUGGCCGACGCGCUAACGCUUCUACCAAACAUUAUCGAAAGAGAGUUUCGUGCGCUCUCGAUCUGCAAUAAAACUGCUGCCAAAAAUUUCUUAAAUCACAGUCUACCGUCUUGAAAUUUUAAUAUAUAUUGGAUAAUUUAGUAUUUGGGACACUGUGUUUGAACAAACGGCGCGACGGUCACAGCUGGAAUGCAUUCGGUCGUAAUACUGACUAGUGUCCAAAAACAACAACAAUUAAACAAUGACGAAUAUUAUUUAUGACUUAGUCAGUGGAGGAAAGGCGACGCCUGUAACCUUUUCAGGGCCUCAGACAAGUUAUGGACUAUUCUCAGUUUCAAGGCCAGGUCUGAAUGUUAGCAAAAGAGCGGUCUCCACUAAAGGUUCCCAAAGCCAAGGGAUUUUGUUAAAUCGACUGAUGAAUAAAAUCGAAUGUAAUACAAUGUUUUAAUAGCCAGUAAAACUUACUCAAAAACAAUAACUUGAAUUUCGAAUCAUCAAAUUUUUCUUUUAAAAAUGUGUACUAAAAGAAUAAUGUGUAUUUUCGAAUCUUUGGAGUAACUGUCAAUAAAACAAUAAUAUCUUAUCAUGAUUGUAUCUUAUAGUGCUGAUAAUAACACUAAUACAAUCCUUCAGACUGUUUUUUUUUAUUUGCCAACCGUGUGACUUCAGAAAUUUGAAAGAAUUUCAAUUUAACACGCAUUCUUCUUCAGUUCACGAACAUUUGUACAAGAGAUGAAUCGCGAAGUUUCCCUGUAAAUUUGGAGCACCUAAAUUUUAGAAACAUUGUGGUAUUUGUGUUCAAAUAACUGAAAUAUAUUAAUUUACACUACAAUAAAAUAUCAUUUUAAUCAUUCCUGACACGAACCUACAUUUGGUUAUGAUUUAUUUGGGAACAAUAGAAAAUUUUGUGAGAAUUUUAGUUAGAAAUGUGUAAAUGUUUUCACCUCUAACCUUGAAUUUUAUUAAAGUAUCAUUCAUCAUAAAUGAAUUUAAUACUGUAAUGUUGUAUGAAUAUGAUUUUGAAGCCAUACAGUUUAAAUAAAUAUAUGGCAGAAAUAAAUCAUGAUAGAAAGUAAGUCAACGUCCUCUGUGUCUGUAAAGAGGAAAACAAAGUAAGAUGCGCGUAUUAAAGUAAUUUUGUUUUAAAGAAUAACAUUCAUACAUCAGGAACACCAGUCUAAUUAUUUGCAACAAAAAUACGCCUAAUAGUCGUACAACUGUCAACGCAAACACUAGCAGAAUCGCCACUUUCACACGUAUACUCUUUACACACUACCAAUAUAAACACACAAACUACAAAUGUAACAUAACUUUCCUGUAAUUUUUCGUUGAGCCUUCGCAUCCAAAACAAAGUUUUUAACAAGUUUUUAACAAGAAAUAACUUUCCAAACAUUCCAUUCAUUAGAUAAUUAAAUAUAGAUAAGUGAUGAUGGGAUGCACAGUAGAUGUGGUAGGCACUGAUAACUGCUCUUACAAUUUUCAGUGAAAUUAAACAUGCCCAACAUUUUAGAUACGCUUUUAACUCAUUCUCUUCUCUGUGCUGCCAAUCUUUAUUGAAAAGGAACUUAGCAUCAGCAUAAAAUUCAACCUUAAAAUCACUAAUAAGGUUUUUUCGGAACUCCUUGGAAGUCCUUCAUCGACUUGGAAACAGAAGAAUAUUUUUAUUGUUGUACAAAUUCCAAUGUAAUAUCCCCGGUGUGACUUACCAAGUGAACAAGUAACACUUCAAAUCUUUCAUUACCACAUUCUGAGUGUAACGUUUUUUUAUAUCGUACCUGUCGUUCUUUGAUAAACGCCAAACUUCAACAUAGACUGGAAAAUAAUGUAAAUCUCGCGACAUCAUAUUUUUUUCGCAAUGUCGUGAACAGGAAAAUGAUAGUGUUAUAAACUCGCUUUUGUCAAGAAUGAUAUACGGACUACUGAAAAUGAAAUUUUAGGGUAGCUGUUCUGCGCAUGUGAAAAUAUUUAUUAACUCUCUUUUCACAAUUAUACGGCAAUUUUUCGGUAAAAUACAGUCAUAUUUUGUCUUAUAUUGACAUGUAUGCAACUGGGAGUUUUAUAAAGGCUGCAUAUCUUAGAAAGUGCUGAUCCUGCGAAAAUACAUAUGUUUAAGCAUUUUUUACACACACGACUGUAAAAAUAUGAUUAACAAUAGGAGAAUGAGAACGCAUGGGAAAUAACUUUUAUUACUGAAAUUUUGUUAAACAGCACAUUAAUUUAAAUUCUUAGAAUAGCAGAAAUUCUCUGCUCUAAGAACGAAGCAGCUCUCUCUUCAUCAUAUAGCAAGAAAAAAUUGUCACAACGAGAGCAGCACGAAAAUAAAGUUAGAAAUAAAGCGGGAAAUUUCUAACCUUAUGCCUAAUUACAAUGACAUUGAUAUAGAUACUAUGGGUAAAUAACUUUAAAUACAGAGUGGCACAAGGAAAAAUGGCCCAGGUUCAGUAACAUAGUCUAAAUACAAAAAUAAAUUUACACGUGUUUUAAAGGACGCACCACCAUAGAAGAUUUUGUAGCAUCAAUACACACAGUUGUGCACAUCUAACCACGUUCAGGUAAAAUAGCAACAUCGAUGACGGCGAGCACAUGCGUGAUAUAAUGCUUCAGUUCCUGUAUUAUGCGCAAAUCUAUUUCGUACAACGUGCUUUUCAAGUGUCCCCAGAAAUAAUAAUCACACGUUGAAAGGUCAGGAGAACGAGGUAGCCACAAAUUUUUGCUAACUGUGCGUUCCUCACAGAAGAUCCCACGGACUUGCUGCAUGUACACCAGAGAAGUGUAGCAAGUCGCUCUGUCCUGCCAGAAAGAGUACACCUGUUUUUCAUCUUCAGUGAGUCGAGCACAAAAUUGAUCCAAAAUGUCCAUGUAGACCUCCGUGUUGACACAGCUGUCAAAAAAUAUCGGUAACAGAACAAGUUGAUGUAAAUCCCAGAAUAGCUGUCAGGUAUCUCUACAAACUUGCUUGCUAUGGCAGAGCAGCAAGAAGGAAGCCCCUUCUUCGACCAGCCAACAUCAAGCGGAGGAAAGCCUGGGCCAGUGAGAUGGUGGAAAGGCAUUUUGGGACCUUGUCAUAUUCUCUGAUGAGUCCAGAUUUGCUUAUUUCCUGACAGCUGUCGAGUGUGGGUCUGGAGACUGCGAUCAAGAAUUUGAUGUGAAAAUAUUGCAGCCAACAAUGAAACACGGCAGCUAUUCUGUGAUGGUCUGGGGAGCAAUUUGUAGCAAUGAGUGAUAAGAGAUGAUGGAGAGUGAAGGAAACAUAAAUUCUGAUAAUCUUCCAAUCUUCUCCAGUGGUAAAAUGAUUAAAGAAGACUAUUUAUGGAAGAUGGGAAUCCUUGUCACACGGCUAAAAUGACCCAUGAUUUGUUGGAUGAGAAUGGCAUUAAAAAGCUUCCAUGGCCAAGCUUCCAAGUCACCAGACAUGAACCCUAUUGAACACCUCUGAGACAUAAUGGACAGCACGCUUCAUAAAAAGAACAAGAAAGCAUCUUCAAAGCUAGAUCUUGACAAGAAAUUCCGCAAGAGAAUACUCAUCAUCUGAUCAUUAACAUGCCUAAUAGUGUUUUCUUGCAUUAAAAAGUCUAAAGAGAAUAUCUACUAAAUAUUGAAUAUUCAAAUUACAACAAAAAUUAAUAUAUAAUUUGAAUGUAUAAUUUCAGAUUUAAACAAAUUUUUACGAUUAUAAGGGUGUCUAUUUACUUCUGUCAUGUCUGAAUAUAUAUAUCAGAGAAAGUGAAAGAAAAUGGAAUUCGUGUGAUUCUUUAUUAAUCAUUACGAUCGUUUCGACCCGUUGUGCAUCUGUCCUUUGCAGGUGAGAUUCUGUACAAAUAGUUGUGGUGUAUUAUUCGGCGCAGAUGUGCCUCGUCAGGAAACAUGCCAAAAGGGACCUCGUUCUUUAAUCUCUGUUUCGGUUAUUUCGAUUUGAAUACAUUCUGGUAGUUGUCUGUGGUUAUUCGCAUACGUGAGAAAACUUGAGAUAAAAUGAAGAACACUUCUCUUUGCGAGGGAUCGAUACAGCAUGGAUCGAAGCGAUUGUCGUUAUUGAUAAAGAAUCCCUUGAAUACCGGGUUUUUUCUCUUUCUCUCAUAUGUAGUGUACGGGUUUUAAACGGCAUACUACGAGGUGCACGCCCAAAUUUCAAAUUAUUACUCAUAUAUACAGGCAUGGAUGUGUGUUAAGAAGCUUGCUUCCCAACCACAUGGUUCCGGCUUCAGUCCCACUGCGUUGCCCCUUCGGGAAGUGUCUUCUACUAUAGCCUCGGGUCGACACAAGCCUUGUGAGUGUAUUUGGUAGACGGAAACUGAAAGAAGCCCGUCGUAUAUAUAUAUAUGUGUGUAUGUGUGUGCAUACAUACAUAACUAUAUAUAACGGGAAGCUUUAUGAAAAUAGACAAAAGACGAAGGCAGGUGAGAAACAAACAAACAAUUGUAUUAGUAUGGCGCUCAGGAAAUAUAAAUAAAACAAGUCUUUAACGUUUCGAGCCUACGCUCUUCAACAGAAAGAUACACAGAGAGAAAAAAAACACAGAAAGAAGGAGAGAAAAAAGAUGCGUGCAGUAACUAACGAAUCAACAUGGCGAUCUGAUUUCGGCCAGAGGUCAAAGAUCAAACAUGAGACGCGAGAGCGAAAUAAGGGGAGAUAAUAGGGUUGAAUGACCAGCUAUUAGUGCGUAUGAGAGGUCUGGACGUGUGUAUGUAUAGGGUUGGUAUACAUAUACAUAUGUAUGUGUGCGUGUGUGUAUGUAUAUGUAUAUGUAUAUAUAUACACAUAUAUAUAUGUGUGUAUGUAUAUCUAUAUAUAUAUAUAUAUAUAUAUAUAAAUUAAAUUAGAGAUAAAAACCACUAUUAGGCAAAUCUAAUUUUUCCAUGUAAGUUUAGAUUUACUCCCUAUAUAUAUAUAUAUAUAUAUAUAUAUAUAUAUAUAUAUAUAUAUAUAUAUAUAUAUAUAUAAGACAGAAUGAGACGGUUGUGAGAAGAUUAAAUAGAGGAAAUAUUUGAGAUCUAAUUAUUAUGGAAAAGGAGGAGAUAGGGAAUAUAGAGGGAAAUAAGAGAAUGAAAGUAGAAACGAGAUAUAUAAAGAUAUCGUAGUUGCAGUUCCAUUAUUCGAAGAAAAUGGUGUAUAGAAGUGGUAAAAAAUUUUCCUGUACAUUGUAUGUAAGUUUCCAUAGCAGUUCACGUUUAGUCAUUUCAAAGUAUGGAGCCGUGGAUUCAGUGUUGCCCGUUCGAAAGAGUUUUGUGGUGUGAAUGAAAAUUUGAGAAUGUAUUAGUAGUAUUUGUCGAUAGAUCGGGAGAGGAGAGAUGUGCAUGAUUAGACUGAGAAGAUAGGUCAAAUUGAAAACAGGAAGAGAAAAUGAAGAAGAAAAAGAAAGAAAAAAGAAAAAAAUGAAAAAAAGAGAGAGAGAAAGAAAAAGUGAAGAGAGUGAAAAAAUGAAAAAAUGUGAAGGGUGAAAGAAAUGAUAAAAAGAGUGUUAGUUCGUGGUCAAGAUAAUGUGAUGUUGUUGUGAGCUGUUUUUGAUUUUGACCUAGUGUUAUAUGUGUGGGGUUCUAAGCCGUCUUAAUCUGUGUUCCCCCGAGGUUGUAGUAUAAUGCACAUAUAGUUGGUUAUAAUUAUGAUGGCCAGCGCGUUGAAGUGAUAUGACUUGGAAUAUAUG